CCCCCUCGUAACCUCCUUGUCCCACCCCCAUCGAAUCCUCCCGAUUCCGAUCUCCGACCCCCAUCCUACGAUCUCAUCGAUCUCCGUCCUUCACCCCGCUCUGUCGUUGAUCUCCACGCUGCGGUGGAUGGCGAACACGAACGCAGGCAGAUCUGCGAGGAUUUGUUGCCAAGGAGAGUGAGACUGUGGGGGUGAUCCAGACGGCAUCUGAUUCAGGCACCGCGAUAGCAUCUCAUUCGAUCAGCUGCAGAAGUUCUGGAGUGAGCUAUCCCUUCAUGCUCGAAAGGAGUUCAUGAGGCUCGAUAAACAGACUUUAUUUGAACAAGCUAGGAGGAGCCUCUACUGUUCCAGAUGCAAUGGGUUGCUUCUGGAAGUCUUCUCACAAAUUGUAAACUAUGGGAAGUCAAUGCAACAAGAAGGUUCUGGUUUUCAACUUUCAGAUAAAGCUGGGAAUUGCCAAUCCCAGGACCGUAGUCACAUAGAUGAGGUACAGGAUCCAUCACUAUAUCCUUGGGGUGGUCUGACAACAACUAAGCAUGGUAUUCUCACUGUUCUUGACUGCUUUGUCAGGGCAAGGUCACUGAAGCCACUGCAAAAUGUGUUUGAUAGUGCUUGAGUUGGGCAACAUGAACACGGAGGUGGAGGCAGGGGUUGGAUUAGCCAAGGGAUUGCUAAUUACGGUAAAGGACACGGAUUAAGAGAGACCUGUGUGUUGCAUACUGCUCGACAUUCUUGUGAUACACUUGUGGACUUCUGGUCCGCUUUAGGUGAGGAAACCAGAUCAUCUCUCUUACAGAUGAAAGAGGAGGAUUUUAUUGAAAGACUUAUAUACAGAUGAAUUUGCCAAGUUCUCAAAAUAUCAAGAAUCAUUCAAGUCAUCAUCUUUCUUUGUCACUGCUAUUAUCGAUUCAGGUUUGACAGCAAGCAGUUUUGCAGAGAUUGUAGAAGAAAUGUUAUUUGUGAAUUCAAGGAGUAAAAGGAGUUGAAGCGUAUGCACAAGGAGCCUUAUUGUGCACUAGAUGAUUUUGCGUUGCUGAUCCAAUAUCAGGUAAUGGAAGAUACUGUUCAAGCUGACUGGCAGCAGUCUUUUCCUGAUGCAAUUGGAGCUUAUCACCAUUUUGAAUGGCCAAUUGGCACUGGAGAAGGACAAACUGUCAUUUUAGGUUUUGAAGAUGUUGGCUUGAAUGUAAAGGUCCAAGUAACUGGACUUGAUCUUGGUAGUUUUGAUGCUUGCUAUAUCAUACUUAGAGCUUGGAAACUUGAUGAGGAAGCUGAUGAAGAGAGAAAGAUGUAAAUGAGCUUGACGCAGAUGGCUCCCAAUCACAGAAGCAUGCUAAGAAGUCCUGAACUGGCUAGGGAGUUUCUUCUAGUUGCUGCAUCUGUUAUAUUCAAAGAGCAGGUUGAAAAAGCAUUCAGAGAAGGUAUAGCGUGUUGUUAAAGGCGCGCCCGAGGCAUGAGGCACACAAGGUGUUGGGAAAAGCACACGCGAGGCAGGCAUUGUUCGUCAAGCACGCGCCUAGGCGUGCCUAGGGCACCUUUGCACCUCAACUGAGGCGCGAUCAAGGCGCACCUCGUGAACAAUUUCUAGAUUGUUAACAACGAAAAAAUGUGUCAUUUGGUUUGGAAUUAGGGCACGGAGAAGAAAAAGAUAAAAGGGAAGAAAAUAACCCAAGAAGAAGAAAACUUAACCCGAGCUUAUUCGGAGCAUUUUUGUCUGCCACCGCCGUUGCUUGAGUCGCGCCGUCAUACCCAAAUUCAAGUAUAUCAUCUAUCUGUUCUCAUGAUGAAUCCUUUAUCAUUUUGCAUUAUGGGGAUUCUAUUGAUGAACAAGGUGAUAGUUCGAUUAUUCAAAACCUCCUGUGAUAAUAUGGAUGAGAAGUCCUCAGGCAUCAGUAUGAAUCAUGAAACUUUAGAACUAUCUGACAUUGAAGAAAAUUCCAUGUUAAUAAUGAGACUUCUGCAUCUGAAUACUCAAAAUCAUCAAGAUGGAAACCAAGACCAAGGAAAGAUUAUAUUUCAGAUCCGGCAUCCAAAUGGUAUGAUAGACACUAUAAUAGCAAAGAGAUUAACAAUCAAGAAGAUGAAGCUGACAUUCAUUUAUGCUCCUCAGAGGCAUAAAUAGUUUGCACAGGCUGUCAAAAGAAAGGUUUGCAAAGCAUAAUCAUAGAAACUGCCAUGCUAAAAAAGGUGAGAGAUCAAGAUAGAUUUGACUGCCAGUCUUCUAUCUGUAAUCAGCUGGAGGAUUACAGUGAAAAGGUUAGGUAUCAUGUUUCAGUGAGUAGAUUAGGGAAGCAGAUAAACCAGAACAUGCAGUGCAUAUGCCCAGGUCAUCCUAUCAGAAUGCUAAAUAUGGUAUUGAUUAUUAUUUACCAGACAAUUUUUCCUUUCAAAAAGGGAAACAUGUUACUAAUUCUCCAGGCAAAGAGAUUUCCAGGAAGCAGGUUUGGGAGACACUGGAUGCACAGAAAUAAGGCUCUAGAAACCAUACUGAUUCUUAACUGCCCACACUAACAGGUUUUGGAAAAGGUGAAAGUGGUUGUCUGCAACAUAUUGGACUUGAAUCAGUUAGUGAUGUAUGCUCGGCUAACCAUCCUACCAGUUUUGGGAAAUUAGCUACUAUGAUGAGUUGUGAUCCUCAUGUUUGCCAGGAUAAUGUAGAUAACUUUCAUAUUGAUACUGAUGUUGAUUGUCAGGAUAAACUUGGUCUCUUAAUAAUGAAAGAAUAUUAUUCAAAGAACAAUAUAGAGGACAGUUUCAACCAUGCCAAGAUCACUUCUGAUCCAGCAAGGAGCUCUUCUAGUUCAGAUAACUGUUUUUCAUGCCAUAGUGUGGGAGAUAGCAGCACUAACUCUUCAAGUGGGCAAAAUGCAGAGUCAUCAGUAACUUUUAGAUUCUGAAGAUGCUUCUCAACAAUCUUGUGGUAGAGAUUCAUCAACACCCAAUAGUGAUUCUUUCCAAAGAUUGUUAGAUGGAUUUCCAGAUAACAAGGGUAAGACAAAUGGAGAUGAUUCUUUAGCAAGCUCUGUUGCAGGAGCAAACCAUACUAUGAAUCUGCCGUAUCUUCCCUCUCCAGCCUUGGGUUACCAUACCUGGGACAUCAAUCUUUGGCCACAAGUUUGUACUGGAUUCAUGACAUAUCCUCAGGCAAACCAUUAUUUAUCAUCUAGGAUGUUGCCCUUUGACAAACAGGCAAUCUGAUACACUAUUCAUUACAGUCCUGUGCAACCUGUAGCCUUCUCUGUUGAUGCAAACAAAGAAUUCUUGUUUCCAACAGCUAACAGAAUGGAUGUUGGAACCUUUCAAGAACAAAAGAAUCAUCACCAGUCCUGUGGGUUUCAACAAUCAGACUCUCCUAUUGAGCGGAUAGGUCAUGAGAAGUCAUUUUCAAAUAGACAAGUGCCAUCAAAAUCUCCUGCAGAAAACUGCAUUGGUGAACAUUGUGCCAAGUCAAACAAUAAACAUCCACCCUUCUCUAUUCCACUAUGGUGGUCCAGUAGAUGGGAACACAGCUGGAUUUAAUGCAAAACCACAUUCUCUUAAAGAUGAAAUUACUGGGCAGAGUCCAACUUAACCGCAGCUCAGGGGCAGGAUUGCUCAAAAGAAGAAAUAAACGUUGAAGUGUUCUGUUUAUUUUCUUCUAGACAUGAUGCAAGAUUUUCAUUCUUCUAAUGCAGUUCAAGCAUGCUAUUAAGAUUUCUCUGCUCUUGUCGUGAAGGCAUGAUCAGUAGUGGCCUAUGAAAAACAAUCUUCCGCAUUAAGUUUUAGCAUAUCCUCAUUGGUUGAUGUUUCCAGUUUAUGCUUCCUGUUACGGAUUGUAAAAAGGAAAUCUUUGAGUGAUAUAGUUUCAUCGCUUUCUUCCUUCAGACCAGUACUGGGUUGAGAUAAGUUUUCCGUCAUGAAUGAAAAUUGAUUUAUUACUUAA